rnacentral:rRNA from 1 species
AGCCAACAGUUGCCAGCAUGUCCUCCGGGGAUGUGGGGACACUGUUGGGACCGCCUCUGGCUAAAGAGGAGGAAGGAAUGGGGCAACGGUAGGUCAGCAUGCCCCGAAUUAUCCGGGCUACACGCGGGCUACAAUGGUCAGGACAAUGGGCAUCAACACCGAAAGGUGAAGGCAAUCUCUUAAACCUGUCCUUAGUUCGGAUUGUGGGCUGCAACUCGCCCACAUGAAGCUGGAAUCUGUAGUAAUCGCGUCUCAAAAUGGCGCGGUGAAUAUGUCCCUGCUCCUU